rnacentral:lncRNA from 1 species
CGCUUGCAUCAAGUGCUCUAAUCUUUGCAACAUUAGAGUAGUAAUUAAUAGAUUAGACAUGGUGUUUAGUCUUGCAAUUACCUAGAAUUGCACCCAAUCCUGCGGAUUGUUGUGGUAGCCUUAGGGUAGUGACAGCCCUAACGGUCGACGUAUUCCACCUCGUUCGGAUCGGUGUUUGUAGGACCGUAGUCAGACCUUCCUAGCCCCCUUCUCAUCUCUUUCUGUGGUUAGUGCUCUGAAGUCCCGAAAUAAAUAAUCUUUGAAGUAAUUCUUGAUUCUUAGAUCAACUAGAGAACUCUCAGGAAACUUCCUCUCUUCCCACCAAAAAUAAUUAUAUAGUUAUCCUUGGGCGAUCUUGAAUCUUAAUUAUUGCACUCACGUUCCCUGUGGAAAAUCGAUACUCUGGAAUACUCCCGGGUGAAAGCUACAUCGGUAUCCGUGUGCUUGAGGAUUUUUCUGUUUGCGUUUAAAAUACCCAACAAGCUUUCUGGCGCCGUUGCCGGGGAACGGUAGCUAUGCUAGUUUCGAACCAAGUCGUCCGUGUAUCCUUUUUCUUUUCCUUUUUUUACCACUCACCUUACCAUUUUCACCACACCACAUGGAUUUCACUCCUAUCUACAAAUUCUUUGCUCCAAAGGGCGAGUUAUUAGAGCCACCACCAUCAUCACAUCCAAUUCUUACAGAUGGCUACGACCUCGGCCCUGAUCUAAUAGCCAUGAUUCAGGAGCAGCCCUUCUCUGGGCAAGUAGAUGAAGAUCCAUACACCCACCUUAGUGAAUUUGAGUACUUGUGCUCUUGUCGAUCUAUUUCUGGCAUGACACAAGAAACCCUUAAAUGGAAAUUAUUUCCGUUCUCCCUUCUGGGAAGAGCAAAAAAAAUGGUAUGCUCAUUCUGUAGGGAGUGUUAAUGGAAAUUGGGAUGAACUUCGGGACAACUUUUGUCUCGCUUUCUUCCCACUUUUUCGAAUUGCUGACCUUAGAAUCAAAAUUCUUACAUUCAAACAAAGAGAGAAGGAAACUUUAGGAGCAGCUUGGGCUAGGUUCACAAGCCUUACCAAUUCCGGUCCAAACCUUGCCCUGCCUAACCAUGUACUGUAGUACCACUUUUAUCGUGGUCUAAACAAGGAAGCUGCUCUUCACCUCGACAUUGCUUCAGGAGGCUCAUUCACACACAAACUCACAGAUGAGGGGAGAGCUAUCCUAGAGAGAAUCCUUGAAAAUACCCCUUACACAGGCAUUUAUGAUGAGUUUCCUAAAGAAGAAAAAGAAGUCAAGUCUGAUCCUAAACUAAAAGAUGAGGAACUUGCAACCGAGUUAGAAUUUCCACCUGACCCAUCUAUUAAUUUGGUUAUAGAGAAACCUCCUGAUAAGGGAAUGCAAAACCAACUAAGGGAUGAUGAACCACCACCUUUAGAGCAUCCCUUUGAAUUCGAGGAAGAUCUUUUUGAAGAUUAUGGAAACACCUUGAAUUUUCCUAUCCAAACACGACCUCUAGCAAGGACCACUCAAUCCGUUCUAAGAGUAGAACCUGUUGACAUAGAACACAUCAAAAGCCUUUCGGCUAUUCUGAGUUAUGAAUGGCUAACAGAAGCAGAGCUGUCUCCUGAGGUAGCUCGAAUCAUCACUCCUUCAACCAUUCUUCUAUGCCAAAUUAGAAGGUCCGCUAGGAAGGUCCACUACAAUCCAUAUGUUGGGAUAAAUAUUAUUUCCAAGGAGUUAGCUAACACUCUUUAUCCCAACGAGUCCAUAACCCCAUCUCAAAAACUUUUACAAAGUCCAUCUAGAUUAAUUCUAGAGAGCCAUGGGGUAUUAAGGGCAGUUCCUAUUAGAAUCAAGGACUUUGGAAUAUGUCUAGAUUUUCACAUUUAUGACAUACCGGAGAUUCCUCUCUUGAUUGGUAGACCAAUCAUGAAACUUCUACAAGAACAACCACAACGAGGUCAUUUAGACUUCAAAGUUGGGAAUUCCACUAUUGUUGUUCCUCUAGCUAGAUCAAUUAACACGAUAGUGGAACCCAAACUUGACCCAGAUCCUAUUGAGGAGAUCUUAAUGGUGACUCAAGAGGAGAUGACCCAACCAUUCUUUAAUCAUGAACACUUUGUUCAAGAAGAAGAAGAGUUGGUAGAACCCGUUGAGAUAGACAAAAAUGAACUACCUUCACCUCCUUCGAUAGAAUUAAAACCUCUUCCUUCUGGCCUUAGAUAUGUCUUUUUGCACAACAACUCAAAAACUCCAGUAAUUAUUAGUGACAAGCUUUCCGAUUAUGAAACACAACAACUUGUCACUGUUCUUGAAAGGCAUAGAUCAGCAUUUGGCUACUCUCUCGAAGAUCUCACAGGCAUUAGUCCCAUUCUCUGCACUCAUCGUAUCCCUAUUGAUCCCAAUUUUACACCUUCAAGGGAACCACAACGGAGACUUAACAAUGCUAUGCGAGAGGUUGUUAAGAAAGAGGUCCUCAAACUCUAUCGUGCUGGGAUUAUUUAUCCCGUGCCACAUAGUGAGUGGGUUAGCCCUAUCCAAGUAGUGCCAAAGAAAGGAGGACUGACGGUCGUUAGGAAUGAUAAGAAUGAACUCAUCCCUCAACGAAUUGUCACUGGGUGGUGUAUGUGUAUUGACUAUCGAAAACUCAAUAAGGCUACAAAGAAAGAUCACUUUCCGUUACCCUUCAUUGAUGAAAUGUUGGAACGGCUUGCAAACCACUCUUUCUUUUGUUUCCUUGAUGGUUAUUCUGGAUAUCACCAAAUCCCAAUCCACCCAGAUGACUAAGAAAAGACUACCUUUACAUGCCCGUAUGGAACUUAUGCAUACCGACGAAUGUCGUUCGGAUUGUGCAAUGCUCCAGCUUCUUUCCAACAGUGCAUGAUGUCUAUUUUCUCGGACAUGAUUGAGAAGAUCAUGGAGGUUUUCAUGGAUGAUUUUACUGUCUAUGGUAAAACCUUCGAUCAUUGUUUGGAGAAUUUAGAUAGAGUCUUGCAGCGAUGUGAAGAAAAACACUUAAUCCUAAACUGGGAGAAAUGCCAUUUUAUUGUUCAGGAAGGAAUAGUGCUAGGACAUAAAGUGUCCGAACGUGGUAUAGAGGUGGACAAAGCAAAGAUUGAAGUUAUUGAAAAACUUCCACCUCCCACAAAUGUGAAAGGAAUCCGUAGCUUUUUGGGACAUACAGGGUUCUAUAGACGCUUUAUCAAGAACUUCUCUCAAAUUGCUAGACCCCUAACUAAUCUCCUAGCUAAGGAUGCACCUUUCAUCUUUAGUGAUGAGUGUCAUGAAUCUUUUCAAACUCUUAAGAAAGCACUCAUCUCAGCCCCGAUUAUCCAACCACCUAAUUGGAAUCUUCCUUUUGAGAUCAUGUGUGAUGCUAGCGAUUUUGCGGUAGGUGCCGUUUUAGGACAAACCAAGGAUAAGAAGCAUUAUGCCAUAUCCUAAGCUAGCAAAACCUUGUCCGGACCGCAGCUCAAUUACACUACAACUGAAAAAGAGCUUUUAGCUGUUGUCUUUGCUAUAGACAAGUUUAGAUCUUACUUAGUGGGGGCAAAGAUAAUCAUCUAUUCAGACCAUGCUGCUCUCAAGUACCUCCUCACUAAGAAAGAUGCUAAGCCUCGUCUAAUUCGAUAGAUUCUUCUACUCCAAGACUUUGACAUAGAAAUCCGAGAUAGGAAGGGAGUAGAGAAUUCCAUAGCCGACCACUUGUCUAGGCUUCAAUAUAAGGAAACACAUGAUGAGCUUCCCAUAAAUGACUACCUAAGGGAUGACACCCUACUUAAGAUAACACAUGCAGAUCCAUGGUACGCAGACAUCGUAAACAUUAUAGUAAAAGGCUAUGUCCCACCUGGUGCAAACAAAAGGAAGUUGCUUCACGAUAGUCGUUUCCACCUUUGGGAUGAGCCAUAUCUUUUCCGAGUCUGCGCUGAUGGACUCUUGAGAAGGUGUGUUCCUAUGGCUGAGGCUACUCAAAUUAUGGAAAGAUGCCAUGCCUCGCCAUAUGGAGGGCACUAUGGAGCAUUCCGAACACAUGCUAAAAUUUGGCAAAGUGGCUUUUUCUGGCCAACGAUGUAUGAAGAUACAAAGGUCUUUGUCAGGAGAUGCCACCGAUGUCAAAAACAUGGGAAUAUCAACUCACGAAAUGAAAUGCCUCUCACAAAUAAUCUUCAAGUAGAACUUUUCGAUGUAUGGGGCAUUGAUUUCAUGGGGCCAUUCCCUAUGUCCGGGAAUUGCGAGUAUAUCUUAGUAGCUGUGGACUACGUGUCCAAAUGGGUAGAAGCCCUACCUUGUCGAUCAACUGAUUCAAAACAUGCCAAGAGAAUGUUCCAUGAAGUAAUCUUUCCUCGCUUUGGUAUACCCCGGAUAGUUAUAAGCGAUGGAGGUUCCCACUUCAUCGACAAAAUCUUCCGGAAGUACCUAGCCGAUCAUGGAGUUCGACACAACGUCGCAACACCAUACCAUCCUCAGACUAGCGGUCAAGCCGAAACAUCUAACAAACAAAUCAAAAAUAUUUUACAAAAGACCGUAGAUGAGAUGGGUAAGGGGUGGAAGGACAAACUUCCUGAUGCACUUUGGGCAUAUAGAACUGCAUUCAAAACACCCAUAGGCAUGUCACCUUAUCAACUUGUAUAUGGAAAAACUUGUCAUUUGCCUGUGGAAGUAGAGUUUAAGGCUCAUUGGGCACUCAAGAAAUGGAACAUGGAUCUCCACCUCGCUAGCGAGAAUCGUCUGAUGCAAAUAUCUGAGCUAGAAGAAUGGAGAGAGAAAGCCUACCACAAUUCAAGGAUCUAUAAAGAGAGAACAAAACGAUGGCAUGAUAAGAGAAUCAAGCACAAGGAGUUUAAGCCUGGAGAUAAGGUUCUACUAUUAAAUUCAAGAGUUAAGCUCUUUGGACAUGGUAAGCUACGAAGUAAGUGGGAUGGACCAUACAAGGUUAUUGACACUUCAACUCAUGGAGCCAUUACCAUCCAGGACGACAUAGGUAACACUUUUAAGGUAAAUGGUCAACGCUUGAAAAUCUAUCUCGAGCCACAAAACAACCUGGUAGAGGAACUUGAUGUGAUUGAGUUCAUAGAAUUCUCAUAUUAAGCUCUCAUAAGCUCUAGAUAAUUACCUAAACCUUAACAUGCUCCACGAGUUUUGUUGUCUAUUUGGGUUGUAUAGGAUUUUGAGGCUUAAGAAGAGUGAGACCAACCAUGCAGACCACAAGAGUGAACGACUAUGUCAACAUCCAGCUUGGGGGAGGCAUCCCCACGUGUAUCUAGAUAAGUAUUACUUUUCUUUCUUAGUUUUAUUUACUAGUAUUCGGAAAUAAAUAAAUAAACAAAAAUGCAUAACCAUGAAACCAAACAAAGUUUUUCUUUUGAGUAAUAUACAAUAGUUUUGUGUAAUCCUAAGUUUUAAAUAAAAAUAAAAAGAAAGUUUGAUCCAAGUCUAGGUAAUUGACAACAUGAUAUGAGAAGGUCUGAGCUACUAUUUAACUUGUUCCAAGUUUUGCUAGAGUUCUGCAGAUUUUAUCUUUUGAAAAUCUAAAAAUUCAAAGAAAAAAAUGAUGAGAUCCUGUUUGACAUAUUACCUAGAGUCUUAUAAGAUAUGAAUAUUAAAACUAUGGGCACUUGCUUUGUUCAAGCCAUUGUUAAUUCUUGUAGUUUUGGUUGAGAGAAUUAUCAUGCUCCAAAGAUCAAGGUCUUUUGUUUUAAAAAUAUAAAAGAUACACUCUUCCGAAGUAUUAUUGCGUUAGAGGCAUGGGACUAUGCAAAAAUUUGAUUCAAAAAGAGUGAGACGAGAGGUAAAAAUGGGCAUGUGUCCGAAGUAGAAUUAGGGGUGCAAAGAUACCCACCUGAGUGAAAAAAAAUGGACACGUGUCCGAUAGUAGAAUUAGGGGUACUUGGUGCCCACUUGAAAAAAAAGAAAGAAAAAAAAAGAGAGACUGAAAAAAAGAAAGAAAGAAAGAAAAUGAUACCCAUGGUCCCUCUAAUAAGCAAUAUGCCAGUAAGAGAUGACAAACUUUUCAAAAAGGUCAAAAGUUUUGAUCUAGGAGUAUGACAUUCCUCUCCCUUGCUCCUAGCAUUGACAUAGCAAAAUGCAAAGUAUGCUAAGACUUUUAAAGCUCUACUUAUAUAUCUUUUGAGAAGAAGGCAAAUACCUCAGUUUUAUUUUGGAAACAUACAAACAACUCCAGAACAAAGGUAAGACAGAAGAACUUGAGACAUAGUGCUUGACUUGAUCGUUCUAUUUUUCAAUCACUUAAGACUUUAGUGAUAACUUAAAACCCUAUAGUAAAAGGCAUUAAAGUAACCCCUGUUUUCUUGCUGAUUUUAGCUUUGCUCAGGGACGAGCAAAGGUUAAGCUUGGGGGAGCUUGUUGAUGGUCCUUAAUGCUCACAUUUAACCGUCAACUAAUCAUGGAAAAGGAUCCAAAUGUAACUAACAUCCAAAAUUAGGGUUUUAUCUGACAGAAUUUCACGAGUUUUGGUGUUUGUCUAUUUCUGUAGGGGGUUAUCAGGAAAUAUGGAAGAAAGGCCCACAUGUCGGGAUUACAUAGAGAUAUUAACGUGCCGCGCAAUUUUCUACCAUCUAGAAGACUCCAGAAGCCACGGGAACGAACGGGAAGGCGAUCGGGCUCAGAGACAGGGCGCCCGCCUGACUCUCCUAGGCGCCCGCCCUGCUACAGUGCCCAAUCAGGGUCAACUUCGCGGAUCGUGCUCCACCGACUCUUAGGAUCGAGGAAAAUCACGCGAUUAAGGUCGGUUUGAUCGGAUGGUGGAGAAUAACGUGGAAAUUCCUUGGGAGCUACUCUUCCUAGAUUUCUUGGGAGCUACUCUUCCUAGAUUUCUUGGGGGCUACUCUUCCUGGACUAUAUAAGCAGACCCCCACCAGCCCCUGGAUGCAUACCUCUUCUACAGAAUCAAAGUUAGGGUUUCAAUUCUUCAUCUAAGUAGAGAGGAUCCCUCUAGUUCUUCUAGUUCUACCUCUAGUUUAUCUAGAUCUAGUUCUAGUUCAUCUAGUUUUAGUUCUAGUUCCUCUAGUUCUAGUUCUAGUUAGUUCUAGUUGUAAUCUAGAAAAUAGGGAGAGAGAAGAGGAGAGCGGAGGAGGAGCCGGAUCUGUUGGAUCUUCCUCAACAAUGUACUUUUGCAGCAACUGGUUCGUUCUUCAUCGUUCUCCAGGUUCUUCAAUUCAUAAUCCUGAGUUCUUUAAUUACUUUUAUUUACAUUCAAGUUAUUUAUUGGAUUUCCGCUUGCAUCAAGUGCUCUAAUCUUUGCAACAUUAGAGUAGUAAUUAAUAGAUUAGACAUGGUGUUUAGUCUUGCAAUUACCUAGAAUUGCACCCAAUCUUGCGGAUUGUUGUGGUAGCCUUAGGGUAGUGACAGCCCUAACGGUGGACGUAUUCCACCUCGUUCGGAUCGGUGUUUGUAGGACCGUAGUCAGACCUUCCUAGCCCCCUUCUCAUCUCUUUCUGUGGUUAGUGCUCUGAUGUCCCAAAAUAAAUAAUCUUUGAAGUAAUUCUUGAUUCUUAGAUCAACUAGAGAACUCUCAGGAAACUUUCUCUCUUCCCACCAAAAAUAAUUAUAUAGUUAUCCUUGGGCGAUCUUGAAUCUUAAUUAGUACACUCACGUUCCCUGUGGAAAAUCGAUACUCUGGAAUACUCCCGGGUGAAAGCUACAUCGGUAUCCGUGCGCUUGCGGAUUUUUCUGUUUGCGUUUAAAAUACCCAACAGUGGCGUAAAAAUAAAAUAAAUAUAUUCUUGUUCAUUAAAAAUGAAAAUAUAAAAAUAAAUUUAUGAUCCUACUAAAGAGAGUAAUAUUUAUUAGAGGAAGCUCAACAUGAUAAAGGCUAAGAGAUUUUAUGCUAACACUUAACCAGAUCCACAAAGCUUUGUUGUCUAUUUGAGCUCCACAGAAUUCAAGAAUCAAGUAAGACUAGCAGACAGAGGAUAUCCUAAUCGCUAUCAGGGUGCUGCCAACAUUCAAAUACACUUACGCCACCUGCUAGCUACAUCAGAAGAAAUUACGUUAAAAUCCAGCUCGGGGGAGAGCACCCCCAUUUAUCCAGCUAAGUGUUUCUACUCACAUUUAUACUUUACUCAAAUAAUAAAAAAAUGCAUAAUCAUAAAAACCCAAUUAAACAUUUUGUGCUUAUAUAUAUCUUUGCUUAGUUUGCUAAAUAAAUAAAUAAAGUGUCUAUGCCAAACUCAACUUCAAUGAUAAACUCUUACAUGGAUAUGAUGAAUAGUUGCUCUGCCAAGUACCUAGUUUUCAAAUUUGAGCUCUCUCUCAAGUUUAGGCAUAACUGUUAUAAUUUAAAGCUUGCUCUAAACCUGAAUUUGCGGGAAGAGUACCUGAUCAAAAGUCUAAGUUGUUAACAGAUAUGAUAUGGGAAGGUUGAGCUGCUGUUUAUCUGUUCCUAGAGAUGCUAGAAUUCUGGAGAAUUUUAUCUUUAAAAAUCUUUAAAAUGCUGGAUGAUGAGUUCUUGUAUUAUGAGAGUUUAAAAUUCUACCACAGCCAUAUAUACAAGAUUAUUAGACUAUGAACCAUACAUUUACUUUUUAAUGCUUAUGAGCAUUGAGUGUGGUCAAGCUGUGUAGACCCUUAGGAGCUUGUCAUGCGGUUAAAAUCAAGAUUCACUUGCACGUUCACUCAUACAUGUUGCUUCUACUCUAGAAGUACGCAUCCACAUACAUCCACUCAUUUCCAUAUCCAGAUUCACACAAAAUUAUUCUACUCCUAUCUAGGAGAGAAUAGCCAAAAACAUUAUCCUAUCCCUGUUAUUCCCCGUGAAAUAAAUGCUCGAGAUAUUUUGGUUACUACAACUUGCUACAUUAUUCCAGGAGGGUGAGUGCUCUAAAAAAAGUGAAUACGAGGAAAUAAAAAAGGGGCAAGUGCCCGAAACCUCAAAGAAAAGAAGAAAAAAAAAGAAAAAGCGAGACGAGAGGUAAAAAUGAACAAGUGUCUGACAAUAGAAUUAGGGGUACAAGAUACCCACCUGAGAGAAAAGAAAAAUAAAAUAUAGAGCAUCUCAUUCCCCUCAAAAGCCUCAAGUGCAAGAAAGGUAUGUACCCCCUCAAAAGAGCAAAAGUAGAAUUAGAUUUUCACCAUUAUUUUCACCAUUAUCGUCAUUCAUUCGCCACACAUGCAUAUCUUAAUUUGACUUAUUAACUUGUUCUUCUGGAUCCAUGGUUUGACUAUGCAAUAAGUGUCUUGUAAGUAUGUAUUAGCUGUCUCCCACCUAUGAGCUCCAGAUAUCAAAACCUUAUUAGAGUAGGGUGAUAGAGAAGGCAAUACCACUAUGCCUCAUACCAAAAAUACCACAUACUUUGAGAGAAGGCAUACACCAUUACUGCCUUGGUAAGGAUCUAGAAAUACCACAAAAGAGAGACUAGAGAGAGUCAUACAAGGAAUCUCUGAGUUUUAUUUGAAAAUCUACAAAAACUCCAGAGCUAUAGUUAAUCGAAGAACAAGAGACAUGGCACUUGACUAGACCGUUCUAUCUUUUAACUGCUCAAGACAUAAGUGACGGUUGCAAGCCCCAUGGUGGAAGGUAAAAUGAGUAAGUUUAAAUCUUAACAGUUUACCUUAACCCAGAGAUGAGAUCUUGUUUGAACGCAUGUGUACCUUUAAGGCAUGAAACCACUGCAGAAACUCUUGAGUCCGUCUUUGCUUAGGGACGAGCAAAGGUUAAGCUUUGGGGAGCUUGUUGACGGUCCUUAAUGCUCACAUUUAACCGUCAACUAAUCAUGAAAAAGGAUCCAAAUGCAACCGACACUUAGACUUAGGGUUUUAUCUGACAGAUUUCCACGAGUUUUGGUGUUUGUCUAUUUCUACAGGGGGUUAUUAGGAAAUACGAAUGAAAGGCCCACACGUCGGGUUUACAUAGAGAAUUAAUGUGUGCGGUAAUUUUCCAUAAUCAGGAAGACUCUAGAAGCAACUCGACCGAAGCAGAGCCGAGACGGGCCUAGGGCUGGGGCGCCCGCCCUGGUACAAGCACCAAUCACAGAAUGGAGUACACCAUUACAAAGAUCUCGUCGAGCUGAUCGAAAUUCAUAUAUUAUUUGCUAUAUUUGGAGUUCGGAAUCAAGAGAUAUUAAUAAAAGAAGGACUCCACAUAAAAGAGCUGCGGGAUUAAUUGGGCCCAAAUCAGAUUUUGGUCCAUUAAGGCCUAUGUGCAUUUUAAUGAGAUAUGGUGGAAAGUUUAGUACCACAUCGCCUGCUGAACCAAAAAGGCACAAAGGAGGAGGCUAUAUAAGCAAGGCCCCUGGCUCCUGGAGGAGAACACAUCAUUAUAGAGUUGAAAGGUGCCCUCGAAGGAUAACCUUUCCUCUAUAGAGAAUUAGGGCUAGACAUUCCAAUGUAGUAGAUUAGUUCUAG